UGGCGGUGUAGGAUGUAGGGUUCAGAACACGCUGUAACAUAGUAGCCAUCUGAUCUAUUUGCUGACUAGCCCGCUGCUGUUGCUCGAGAAGCGACUGGAGGGUCGCACCGUGGGAAUCUAUCUGCCGACUGUGAUCAGAAACUGCCCUAUGGAGUGCCUCUGCUGGGUCCGGCUGAGCUGACUGUUCUGUCAUAGUUCUGACUGCCGACUUGACCCACAUGCAGAGUACACUCAGAAACCAAGAACGUUUUAGUUAUUUUAUUUAAAGACUUGAACUAGGGUCCGGUGACAAGGAAGCCAGGCUGAACUGUGAUGGGGAGGAACAAGGGGAGAGAACUCAUGACUGAGUGCUGAUCCAGAGUGAGGUGCCGACAGGAGCCAGGGAAGUAAUCCUUCGAGGAGGGUGGACAAGGUUCGCAACUAAAACGGUAUUCUGAUCCGGUCGGGCUGCCAGCCAAGGAAUGGACAUCCCAGAUAAAUCAGAGUGAGGCCUCCUGAAACUGCACCCAUCAAGUCCAAAAUGCAGUAUUCUAGCUCAAGUGAUUCUAUUAAGAAGGUAUUGACAGGAAUCAAGCAUGAACUGCAGAUGAACGACCUCCCAGAUUAUGGAACCAGGGACCAAUCUGCAGAAAGAUCUGCGGAAAUGUUAUCAAAAUUGUAGGCCAUCCUAUCGGGCACUAAAUCUAAAACAAAGACUCCUCCUGUUUCUGAAAAGCCAAAUAAAUCUAAUCAUGAUGACUUUUAAUCGUCUCUUGAUUAGUUUUUUUUUUUUACCGGUCUUUUAAAAAAGCGGAGCUCUGUUGAGUCAUAUUCAUCAAUUCACUUCAGUUCCUCUAAUUGCUAAAGUUUUAAAAACAAUAAUUAGACUUUAUUGAUCUCACAAUGGAGAAAUUGUCGUCUGCAUUUAACCCAUCCCUUAGGGAGCAGUGGGCUGCCAUUGUGCAGCUCCCGGGGAGCAUUCAGGGGCUAAGGGUCUUGCUCAGGGACCCAGAGUGGCAGGCUGUGGGAUUCAAACCAAGGUACUUGUGGCCUCUCCAGGAUGCAAAUUCCCUGCUCUCUAACAACGAAGCCACCACUGAAUUGUAUGUACCACACUGUAUAUAUGAUUUAAAUUCUUGCAUGUUCCUGAACAGUUAAUAUGACUGGAUGUUACUCUUCUCACACAUAUUAAGUAUUAAGUUUUCCUCUUGGACCCAGGUAUUCUGCAUCAUAAAGUCUUGGACUGUUAACCAUUUCAGGGAAGUGGAGAUCACCAUAUUUUGGUGUUCUUUCCUCUGGGUGUGGCUUCCUUUUCUUCAGUAAUCACUUGAAUAAUUCAGGUCUUGUUGAUAUGUUUCUGGGUUGUCAGUUCUUCUGCCAUUAAUUUUUUGCUCAAAAUAAAAAUCCCAGAUGUUGGUUUUGUCCCAGAUAGGAUAAAAGCACACAUCACCUAGUUCUGUGUCUCUUACCUGGUUAACUUCAGUUACAUGUUCUGCAAGAUCUGUGUUGUGAAUUGGCGCUAUAUAAAUAAACCUGAAUUGAAAAUUGAA